rnacentral:tRNA from 1 species
UCCGGGGUAGCUCAAUCGGUAGAAGCGUCUGGCUGUUAACCAGAAGGUUGUGGGUUCGAGUCCCACCCCCGGAG